rnacentral:rRNA from 1 species
UACGUAGGGGGCAAGCGUUGUCCGGAAUCAUUGGGCGUAAAGAGCGCGUAGGCGGCCCAGUAAGUCCGCUCUGAAAGUCAGGGGCUCAACCCCUGGAUGCGGGUGGAUACUGCUGGGCUAGAGUCCGGAAGAGGUGAGUGGAAUUCCUGGUGUAGCGGUGAAAUGCGCAGAUAUCAGGAGGAACACCGGUGGCGAAGGCGGCAUCCUGGACCGAGAUUGACGCUGAGGCGCGAAAGCCAGGGGAGCAAACGGG